GCUUAGAGUUUGAUCCUGGCUCAGGAUGAACGCUGGCGGCGUGCCUAACACAUGCAAGUCGAACGGACUCUUCGGAGUCAGUGGCGGACGGGUGAGUAACGCGUGAGAACCUGCCUCUAGGAGGGGGAUAACAGCGGGAAACGGCUGCUAAUACCCCAUGAGCCGUAAGGUAAAAAGGAAUCCGCCUAGAGAGGGGCUCGCGUCCGAUUAGCUAGUUGGGGAGGUAAAAGCUCACCAAGGCGACGAUCGGUAGCUGGUCUGAGAGGAUGAGCAGCCACACUGGGACUGAGACACGGCCCAGACUCCUACGGGAGGCAGCAGUGGGGAAUUUUCCGCAAUGGGCGAAAGCCUGACGGAGCAACGCCGCGUGAGGGAAGAAGGCCUUUGGGUUGUAAACCUCUUUUCUCAGGGAAGAAGUUCUGACGGUACCUGAGGAAUCAGCCUCGGCUAACUCCGUGCCAGCAGCCGCGGUAAUACGGAGGAGGCAAGCGUUAUCCGGAAUUAUUGGGCGUAAAGCGUUCGUAGGCGGCCGUUCAAGUCUGCUGUCAAAGUCCGAGGCUCAACUUCGGGAAGGCAGUGGAAACUGAACAGCUAGAGGUCGGAAGGGGCAGAGGGAAUUCCCAGUGUAGCGGUGAAAUGCGUAGAUAUUGGGAAGAACACCGGUGGCGAAAACGCUCUGCUGGGCCGAACCUGACGCUGAGGGACGAAAGCUAGGGGAGCGAAUGGGAUUAGAUACCCCAGUAGUCCUAGCCGUAAACGAUGGAGACUAGGUGUUGCCUGUAUCGACCCGGGCAGUGCCGAAGCCAACGCGUUAAGUCUCCCGCCUGGGGAGUACGCACGCAAGUGUGAAACUCAAAGGAAUUGACGGGGGCCCCGCACAGCGGUGGAGUAUGUGGUUUAAUUCG
rnacentral:rRNA from 1 species